rnacentral:rRNA from 1 species
AUUGAACGCUGGCGGCAGGCUUAACACAUGCAAGUCGAACGGUAACAUAAAGAAGCUUGCUUCUUUGAUGACGAGUGGCGGACGGGUGAGUAAUGCUUGGGAAUCUAGCUUAUGGAGGGGGAUAACUACGGGAAACUGUAGCUAAUACCGCGUAGAAUCGGGAGAUGAAAGUGUGGGACCUUCGGGCCACAUGCCAUAGGAUGAGCCCAAGUGGGAUUAGGUAGUUGGUGAGGUAAAGGCUCACCAAGCCGACGAUCUCUAGCUGGUCUGAGAGGAUGACCAGCCACACUGGGACUGAGACACGGCCCAGACUCCUACGGGAGGCAGCAGUGGGGAAUAUUGCGCAAUGGGGGCAACCCUGACGCAGCCAUGCCGCGUGAAUGAAGAAGGCCUUCGGGUUGUAAAGUUCUUUCGGUAGCGAGGAAGGCAUUUAGUUUAAUAAACUGGAUGAUCGACUUAACUACAGAAGAGC